rnacentral:rRNA from 1 species
CCUACCCAUGCAGUGAACGUUAGCCGCCUUGAAGGGCCACCGUCCCACCUGAUUGGAACCCGGCCAGAUCCUACCGGAGGCAGCAGGGGAAUAUGCGCCAAUGGGCGAAGCCUGACCCCAGCGACGCCCGCUGAGGGAUGACGGCCUCCGGGUGUAAACCUUCUUCAGCAGGGACGAAGCCGCCAAGUGACCGGUACCUGCAGAAGAAGCACCGCCAACUACGUGCCAGCAGCCCGCGGUAAUACGUAGGGUGCAAGCGUUGUCCGGGAAUUAUUGGGCGUAAAGAGCUCGUAGCCGGCUUGUCACGUCGACUGUGAAAACCCGGGGCUCAACUCCCGGGCCUGCAGUCGAUACGGGCUGGCUUGAGUGCGGUAGGGGAGACUGGAAUUCCUGGUGUAGCGGUGAAAUGCGCAGAUAUCAGGAGGAACACCGGUGGCGAAGGCGGGUCUCUGGGCCGUAACUGACGCUGAGGAGCGAAAGCGUGGGGAGCGAACAGGAUUAGAUACCCUGGUAGUCCACGCCGUAAACGUUGGGCGCUAGGUGUGGGACCCUAUCCACGGGUUCCGUGCCGCAGCUAACGCAUUAAGCGCCCCGCCUGGGGAGUACGGCCGCAAGGCUAAAACUCAAAGGAAUUGACGGGGGCCCGCACAAGCGGCGGAGCAUGCGGCUUAAUUCGAUGCAACGCGAAGAACCUUACCAAGGCUUGACAUACACCGAAAACUCGUAGAGAUACGGGGUCCUUCGGGGCGGUGUACAGGUGGUGCAUGGUUGUCGUCAGCUCGUGUCGUGAGAUGUUGGGUUAAGUCCCGCAACGAGCGCAACCCUCGUUCCAUGUUGCCAGCACUUCGGGUGGGGACUCAUGGGAGACUGCCGGGGUCAACUCGGAGGAAGGUGGGGAUGACGUCAAAUCAUCAUGCCCCUUAUGUCUUGGGCUGCACGCAUGCUACAAUGGCCGGUACAGAGGGCUGCGAAACCGUAAGGUCGAGCGAAUCCCAAAAAGCCGGUCUCAGUUCGGAUCGGGGUCUGCAACUCGACCCCGUGAAGUCGGAGUCGCUAGUAAUCGCAGAUCAGCAACGCUGCGGUGAAUACGUUCCCGGGCCUUGUACACACCGCCCGUCACGUCACGAAAGUCGGUAACACCCGAAGCCCUCCCCAACCCGUAAGGGGGGGAGC